UAUUUCUUGGCCCUGCAAGAUUUGAAGUUCAACUGUCAUCAGAUCUCUCUCUCAGAGACGAUGAGUGUGCUUCUGGGCUUGAGAGGAACUUCUGGGUUUUUCAUUUUUUCAGUUAUAUGAGUAAUUUUACUCAAUUACUAAAUAGUUGUUAUCUAUAAGUGAUGGUAUAAAAAUCCUCAUCAUCUUCUGGAAAAAGCAAUGGUGCUGCAAAUCCCACUCCCACUUCAUCGAUGAGUGAUGGCCCCUCACUCCCAGUGUUCGGCCUUCCCCUUCAUCCUCUCUGACAAAUUCGUCUUCUCCGACCUGCAACACCAACUCAAACUCCAGCGACGGACCGCUCAAUACCACCGUCUCCGCUCGUUUUCAUUUCCAGUUUUGUUUCUGGAUUCUCGUAUGUUGGAUUUCCACACGAUCAUGUUCCUUCCAUAAUUGCUCUUGGAGAACAUGAGGUUCUUCAGUUUCUUUUCUAAUCAGUUUUGUUUUAAUUGUUCAUCAUGGCUUCGGAAAUUUCAUUUCUUUUUUGCCUGAAUUUUGAGUGCAUCUAAAAGUUUUGUCUUCAAAGACUUGAUCUUUCUGGGAUUUGAUGGUGGUUGGUGGUUUAACUGGGUUUUGUGCUACUGGUAGCAAUGGUGGUGGUCGUGGUGGCAGUGGCAAUAGUGGUGGUAAUGGAGGCAACUGUGGAGAAGAUGAUGAGAUGUUGCAUAUUGGGUGUAGAGAGAAAUUUUUGGGUGUUCAUAACAAUAGCAUCCCAGUUUUUUUUUUUCUCCACAUUCUUGAAGACAUGAAUUUGCCCUUAGAAAUAUGACAGAAACCAAGCUGACUAACAGUCAAACUGACGGCAUGUAUUUAUGUUGGAUCGGGAUUUGAAGCUCAGACACUGUUCUUCAGUUUUGCAUUGGUUGUGGGCAUAGAGAAGGCUUCGGCGGCAUUUCUGGGUGUUCAACAUCUGCUACGAGCAUCUGUGUGACUCUCUUCAUUGAAGCAUCGCCAACCUCCAAGUCCUUACCAUCAUUAUAUUGAUCAAGCACCCAUGUGGGGAAGUAAAGUUGGCUUGAGUUAUCUCCAUGUGCAUUUAGAUUUUUCCUUCUGCUUGCCAUUUCC